CCUACGGGAGGCAGCAGUGAGGAAUAUUGGUCAAUGGCCGGAAGGCUGAACCAGCCAUGCCGCGUGAAGGUCAGUGCCCUAUGGGCGUUAAACUUCUUUUGUACGGGAGCAAUAAUGGUCACGUGUGGCCAGACGAGAGUACCGUACGAAUAAGAAUCGGCUAACUCCGUGCCAGCAGCCGCGGUAAUACGGGGGAUGCAAGCGUUCUCCGGAUUUAUUGGGGUUAAAGGGUGCGUAGGCUGUGAGGUAAGUCAGCGUUGAAAUGCCCCCGCUCAACGGGGUGAAGUGCCAUUGAUACUGCCUUGCUGGAAUGCGGAUGCCGUGGGAGGAAUGUGUGGUGUAGCGGUGAAAUGCAUAGAUAUCACACAGAACACCGAUUGCGAAGGCAUCUCACGAAUCCGCGAUUGACGCUGAUGCACGAAAGCGUGGGUAUCAAACAGGAUUAGAUACCCCAGUAGUC
rnacentral:rRNA from 1 species